rnacentral:rRNA from 1 species
AGAGUUUGAUCCUGGCUCAGGAUGAACGCUAGCGGCAGGCUUAACACAUGCAAGUCGAGGGGCAGCACGAGGUAGCAAUACUUUGGUGGCGACCGGCGCACGGGUGCGUAACGCGUAUGCAACCUACCUUUAACAGGGGCAUAACACUGAGAAAUUGGUACUAAUUCCCCAUAACAUUCGAGAAGGCAUCUUCUUGGGUUAAAAACUCCGGUGGUUAAAGAUGGGCAUGCGUUGUAUUAGCUAGUUGGUGAGGUAACGGCUCACCAAGGCAACGAUACAUAGGGGGACUGAGAGGUUAACCCCCCACAUUGGUACUGAGACACGGACCAAACUCCUACGGGAGGCAGCAGUGAGGAAUAUUGGUCAAUGGACGCAAGUCUGAACCAGCCAUGCCGCGUGCAGGAAGACAGCUCUAUGAGUUGUAAACUGCUUUUGUACUAGGGUAAACGCUCCUACGUGUAGGAGUCUGAAAGUAUAGUACGAAUAAGGAUCGGCUAACUCCGUGCCAGCAGCCGCGGUAAUACGGAGGAUCCAAGCGUUAUCCGGAUUUAUUGGGUUUAAAGGGUGCGUAGGCGGUUUGAUAAGUUAGAGGUGAAAUACCGGGGCUCAACUCCGGAACUGCCUCUAAUACUGUUGAACUAGAGAGUAGUUGCGGUAGGCGGAAUGUAUGGUGUAGCGGUGAAAUGCUUAGAGAUCAUACAGAACACCGAUUGCGAAGGCAGCUUACCAAACUGUAUCUGACGUUGAGGCACGAAAGCGUGGGGAGCAAACAGGAUUAGAUACCCUGGUAGUCCACGCGGU